GGGGGUAUGGUCUAGUGGUAUGAUUUCUGUUUUGCAUUGAUCCUUUGGAUCCAGCAAUACAGACGGUCCCGUGUUCGAUCCACGGUGCCUCCA
rnacentral:tRNA from 1 species